UACGUAGGGUGCAAGCGUUAAUCGGAAUUACUGGGCGUAAAGCGUGCGCAGGCGGUUUUGUAAGUCUGUCGUGAAAGCCCCGGGCUCAACCUGGGAAUUGCGAUGGAGACUGCAAGGCUUGAAUCUGGCAGAGGGGGGUAGAAUUCCACGUGUGGCAGUGAAAUGCGUAGAGAUGUGGAGGAACACCGAUGGCGAAGGCAGCCCCCUGGGUCAAGAUUGACGCUCAUGCACGAAAGCGUGGGGAGCAAACAGG
rnacentral:rRNA from 1 species